rnacentral:rRNA from 1 species
GCUAGUAAUGGCAGGUCAGCAUACUGCCGUGAAUACGUUCCCGGGCCUUGUACACACCGCCCGUCACACCAUGAGAGUUGGGAAUACCCGAAGCCUGUGAGCUAACAUUAAGAGGCAGCAGUCGAAGGUAGAAUCAAUGAUUGGGGUGAAGUCGUAACAAGGUAAC